GUGGCUGGUCUCUCGCAGGCAGUAAAUCUCCGACUCUUAUAGAAAGUCAGCGCCACUUAUUGCCGGGGCAUCGGGGGGCAGACGCGCAAAAGGAUGCUGGUACCCUAUUCCCACUCAGCACGGGCUGCCAUUCACUCUUACCUACUGCGGUGCCCACUGCCCGACACUGGCACUACCUGCCAGGAUUCCAGCACAGCCCAGUACGCUGAAUGGAGCUCCCUGCACAGCUAUGUGACUUUCUUACUGGGAUAACUGGAGGUGUUGGAUUCUCAGCUUCCCGUCUCUACCCGACUACGGCUUCUCCCUGCGCCCCGACAGGUCUGGAAAAGCGGAAUCAUCGAGGGGACGGAGCGGCAGUGAAUCAAUGGAAACGUUUGUGUUUAAAUCCAUUUCUUCUUAUACGUUAUUUGUGUUCCAGGGAUCCGAGAAUUUCGCUUCUGAUUUUUUUUUUAUCCAUUUUUAUUUAUUUUUACAUUUUAUUCUUUUGUAAAAAAAUAAUUAUUGUGUGAAUAAAAGCAGGAACGUCGGGCAAAUCAACGAAUUCCGCUUGUUAUUAUUUCUACAGCCGCCGAGUGUAACCAAUAAACUGCUGUUUUACAUCCGACUGAUUGUAGGUAAAUAUUUACCCCCGUUGGAGCCGUUUCGGAGCUGCCCGUUCCCAAUAUUCGUUUUAUUUGGAUAAAAACAACAGGUUUAAUUCUAAAUAAAAGACGAUAUAAUUCGGGGGAACAAGCGUUUGUGGGAAUUUUACUGCAGAAGUUUAAACUGAAUGGAAAUAAAUAAGGUUUGAGAGAGAGAGAAAAAGGGCUUCUGGGAACGCAAAAAAAACCCGACAAAUUUCAUUAUUCGUUUCAUUAAUUUUUUUUGCUGAAAUUUAUUAUUUCCGAUAAAAGUGAAAUAUAUUUCCGGUCAGUACUUUCGUUCGUCGGUUAUUACGGUCUGAGAGGGAUCAUCGCAUUUUUUUUUUUUUUUCACUUGUGUGUUCGGUAACGGUUUCUUCUGUUCUGCUUAAUAAAGGAUUGAAAAGCUGCUAAUUG